rnacentral:tRNA from 1 species
GGAGGGGUGGCAGAGCGGUAAUGCGUCCGCUUGCUAAGCGGUAGCCGGCGAGCAAAUCGUCGCGCGAGUUCGAUACUUGCCCCCUCCGCCA